rfam:Myotis brandtii contig278767, whole genome shotgun sequence.
AGAGGCCCUCUGUGGCUGGGGCAGGAUGCUUGCCUCAUCAUCACGGCGACAAAGCAAGCAUUCCGCCAGGCCGCUCACGCUGCCUGC